rnacentral:rRNA from 1 species
GACGGAGAUGCAAGUGUUAUCCGGAAUCACUGGGCGUAAAGCGUCUGUAGGUGGUUUAAAAAGUCUACUGUUAAAGCUUGAAGCUUAACUUCAAAAAUGCCGUAGAAACUUUUAAACUUGAGUAUGGUAGGGGUAGAGGGAAUUUCCAGUGGAGCGGUGAAAUGCGUAGAUCUUGGAAAGACCACCAAUGGCGAAGGCACUCUACUGGGCCAUGACUGACACUAAGAGACGAAAGCUAGGGGAGCAAAUGGG